rnacentral:rRNA from 1 species
GUCAGAGGUGAAAUUCUUGGAUUUUUGGAAGACGAACGGAUGCGAAAGCGUUUGGCAAGGAUAUACCCAUUGAUCAAGGACGAAAGUUAGGGGAUCGAAGACGAUUAGAUACCGUCGUAGUCUUAACCAUAAACGUUGCCAUCUAAAAGAUGGUGUACUGUAAUUUCAAAGUACAUCCUUUUUUUCCGGGAAACCAAAGUUUUUGGGUUCUGGGGGGAGUAUGGUCGCAAGAUUGAAACUUAAAGGAAGUGACGGAAGGGCACCACCAGGAGUGGAGCCUGCGGCUUAAUUUGACUCAACACGGGGCAACUUACCAGGUCCGGACAUUUUUAUGAUUGACAGAUUGAUAGCUCUUUCAUGAUUGAAUGGGUGGUGGUGCAUGGCCGUUCUUAGUUGGUGGAGUGAUUUGUCUGGUUAAUUCCGUUAACGAACGAGACCUUUUCCUGCUAACUAGUUUUUAUAUUUUUUUGAGUAGAAAUGUGAAACUUCUUAGAGGUACUAUUCGUUUAUUUCACGGAUGGAAGCUUUAGGCAAUAACAGGUCUGUGAUCGCCCUUUGAUCGUCCUGGGCUGCACGCGGGCUACACUGAUGCAGUCAACGAGUGAGAACAACCUUCUCUGAUAAGAGUAGGGUAAUCUUUGAACCUGCAUCGUGCUUGGGAUUAACUACUGCAACUGUAUUUAUCGACGAGGUACUUCUA